AGGCGAAUAGCUCAAUUUGGCAGAGCACCGCUCUCCAAAAGCGGGGGUUGGGGGUUCAAGUCCCUCUUCGCCUGCCA
rnacentral:tRNA from 1 species